rnacentral:rRNA from 1 species
GAUGAACGCUAGCGGCAGGCUUAAUACAUGCAAGUCGUGGGGCAGCAGGGGUAGUAAUACCCGCUGGCGACCGGCAAACGGGUGCGGAACACGUACGCAACCUUCCUUUAACUGGAGAAUAGCCCCUCGAAAGAGGGAUUAAUACUCCGUAACAUAUAGAUGUGGCAUCACAAUUAUAUUAUAGCUCCGGCGGUUAAAGAUGGGCGUGCGCCUGAUUAGAUAGUUGGCAGGGUAACGGCCUACCAAGUCUGCGAUCAGUAACUGGUGUGAGAGCACGACCAGUCACACGGGCACUGAGACACGGGCCCGACUCCUACGGGAGGCAGCAGUAAGGAAUAUUGGUCAAUGGACGCAAGUCUGAACCAGCCAUGCCGCGUGGAGGAUUAAGGCCCUCUGGGUUGUAAACUCCUUUUAUCUGGGAANACUCCACGUUUUCUAAUGUGGUUGACGGUACCAGAGGAAUAAGCACCGGCUAACUCCGU